rnacentral:rRNA from 1 species
GACGAACGCUGGCGGCGUGCUUAACACAUGCAAGUCGAACGGAAAGGCCCUGCGUUUGCGGGGUGGUCGAGUGGCGAACGGGUGAGUAAAACGUGAGUAAACCGUCCUUGAAAUACGGAUAAAUUCAGGAAAAUGGGGCGAAUAUCGGAGAGAAGAUUCUGAUGCGUGGGGGGGGUAGGAAAGUGUCGGCGGUUGGGGCUGGACUCGCGGGUUACCCGCUGCAUGGUGGAGUAGGGGCAUACCAGGGCUUUGACGGGUAGCCGGCAUGAGAGGGUGAACGGCGACAUUGGGCCUGAGAUACGGCCCAGACUGCUACGUGACGCAGCAGUGGAGAAUAUUGCACAGUGAGCGGAAGCCUGAUGCAGCAGCGUCGCGUGCGGGAUGACGUGUUACGGGUUGUAAACCGCUUUCGCAUGUGACGAAGCCUGCGUGACGGUAAUGGGUAAAAAAGCACCGGCUAACUACGUG